rnacentral:rRNA from 1 species
CAGCCGCCGCGGUAAUACGUAGGUGGCAAGCGUUGUCCGGAAUUAUUGGGCGUAAAGGGCUCGCAGGCGGUUUCUUAAGUCUGAUGUGAAAGCCCCCGGCUCAACCGGGGAGGGUCAUUGGAAACUGGGAAACUUGAGUGCAGAAGAGGAGAGUGGAAUUCCACGUGUAGCGGUGAAAUGCGUAGAGGUGUGGAGGAACACCAGUGGCGAAGGCGACUCUCUGGUCUGUAACUGACGCUGAGGAGCGAAAGCGUGGGGAGCGAACAGGAUUAGAUACCCCGGUAGUCCCUGUCUCUUAUAC